ensembl:snRNA U6 U6 spliceosomal RNA
GUGCUUACUUUGGCAGUACAUAUAAUAAAAUUAAAGCAAUACAGGGAAGAGUAACAAGGCCCUUACAUAAGGAAGAUACAAAAAUUCAUAAAACUUUCCAUAUGUAA